rnacentral:rRNA from 1 species
UACGUAGGGUGCGAGCGUUAAUCGGAAUUACUGGGCUUAAAGCGUGCGUAGGCGGUUCGCUGUGUCCGAUGUGAAAGCCCCGGGCUUAACCUGAGAAUGGCAUUGGAAACUGGCGGGCUUGAGUGCGGCAGAGGGGGGUGGAAUUCCGCGUGUAGCAGUGAAAUGCGUAGAGAUGCGGAGGAACACCGAUGGCGAAGGCAGCCCCCUGGGUCGACACUGACGCUCAGGCACGAAAGCGUGGGGAGCAAACAGG